GACGAACGCUGGCGGCGUGCCUAACACAUGCAAGUUGAGCGACGAACCAGGGCUUGCCCUGGGGCAAAGCAGCGAACGGGUGAGUAACACGUGGGUAACCUACCCCGAUAACCGGGACAACCCGAGGAAACUCGGGCUAAUACCGGAUGUGCUCACUGGACUUCGGUUCAGUGCGUAAAGGAAGCUUCGGCCUCCGUAUCGGGAGGGGCCCGCGGCCCAUUAGUUUGUUGGUGAGGUAACGGCUCACCAAGACCGCGAUGGGUAGCUGGUCUGGGAGGAGGAUCAGCCACCUGGGGACUGAGACACGGCCCAGACCCGUAGGGAAGGCAGCAGUGGGAAAUGUGGCGCAAGGGGCGAAGGCGUGACGCAGCAACGCCGCGUGGGGGAAGAAGGCCUUCGGGUGGUAAACCCCUUUCAGGGGGGACGAAGGUUGGGCGGUGAAUAGCCGUCCGGACUGACGGUACCUCCACAAGAAGCCCCGGCCAACUACGG
rnacentral:rRNA from 1 species